AGCCUAAAUACAAGCAUGGGUUAAAGAAGGUCAGCACAACGCCAAAUUCUGUUACUAUUUACCUAGAAAAGGUGAGCACUGUGUGAACAUAUCCUGCUAUUUCGGGUAUUGCCAUAGAAAACUUUACCGUAUGUAAAUGUUAAAACACAAAAAGUGUGUUUCUGAAUUUUGAUAGUCCCAGCUGUGACCUACAAAUAGAAAUGGAUACACAACUAGUGACAUGGAGCUCAUUAUAGAUAUAUAUAUAUAUUUUAUUUAUCUAUUUAUUUAUUUUAGUAAAAAUAUAACCUUUCAAGCCAGCAUUUGGUAAAUUGAUUGUAGACUGCAUGCAAUACAGCUGUACCGUGGCAUUUUUAGAAAUGUUAUUGAUUUAAUUGAUGAUGUGUCGUAUCUGUUAGACAGUUCACAUCUGUGAGUGGUUUUAUUUUAAAUAAUUUUUACAUCACUGUAAUUCAUCCAUUAUUUCUAUCCUUUCUCCCUUCAUAUCUGGACAAAACCACCAUGUUAUCCUCUCACUAGUAUAUACAUAGUGAAUGGACUUGUUUCUUUAAAGUCCAACCAGAAGGUCUAAGGCACAUGUCCAUACUGGUUUAAUUGCCACAUGGCUCUCUUUGUACAUGCAUGUCAAGUUACGUUACUCCAUAUAUACAUGUAAUAUUGCAAUACAAUACAAUUUGUUAUCAAUACACGUCAUACACAAUAUGAUUUAAUUAUUUUUCGACUUGUGAGUGUUAUUAGGAUUUUUUUUUCAGGAAAAAUAUAUUCUUCUUUAAAGAGUUAAACAAGAAAAAAAACUUACUAUAAUUGCAUGAACCCCCUUAUAUUAAUUUAAAUAUUCCUUCUUUCCUCAGCUAACCAAUAUAGAACAAACGUAUACCAUAGACACAGUGCAGAAUUUUAUAGUGAUGAAUCUGAAACCUGCUGUUGUCAAAGUGUCCGACUAUUAUUUUCCAGGUAAAAUUAGAGAAACACAUCAAUUCAGAUAAAAUGAUUUAUAUAAUUAUGUCUAGCAUAGUCCAGCUUUUUGAAAGCAUACAGACCAUGCCUUGGGCUACAGAGUUCAUUUUUCAAAGCACGUCUAGUGGAAUCCAGUGUAGUUCUAAAAACCACAGGAACUGAUGUUUAUACAACAGAGUACAUCAUUCUGAGUAGGUAAUGCAACUAAUCUUUAUAUAACGGAGCCAAUCUUUUUAAAUAUGCACAAUGUGCCCUUAUAUAACACAGUUUGUCUUUCUGAAAUUAGAAGUAAAUUGUUCUAAAAGUUUUAACCCUUCCCUUCUUCGAUAGAGAUAAUCUUUCUAGACUCAUAGAACUUUCUACAGCAAAUUCCAUCUUUCUAAAAUUAUAGAAACCAUCACUUCUAUCACAGAGUUUCAGUUUAAAAGCACAAGACCCUAUGCUUAUGUUGCAGAGUUUAUUAAAUGCAUCGAUCGUGUUUCAUGCACAGCAAUAUCAAUCUUUCUUAAUACAUAGGACAGGAAGAUAUAAUGUAGUAAUUUGGAGUAAUAUAGAUUAUUUACUGAAUAAUGCAGAGACAUCUAUAGCAUUGUACUAUAUUUAAACGACAUCUAGGAAUAGUCUGACUCAUGGAUAGAUAAACAGUUAUAUCCGGAAUAAAGCGGAAACAUCCAUAUAUAAUGAGACUUUACCUUAAAACUGUGCAUUAUAACUGUAUACCUGGCAGUAUUCCUUAGAUUAUACGUGACCUUUCCACUGUUCUUGUGAGGGUUAUUUACUGAACUGAGAAUUGCCCUGGAAGAGUAAUAUAGAGACUGUCAAGUAUAGUUGACCAAGACCGAGACAGUCACUAAUAAUUAGAGUAAUAUAGAAGCAUCCAGGAACAGCCCUAGUAAUGCAGACACCGCACAGAGUACUGGAGUAAAGCAGCCAUUUAUCGUCUGAGUAAUGCAGAGACAGGCAGAUUUAGUAUAGUUAUACAUGGUAUAACUAUAAGUCUAGACCCUUACGAUCUGCUGAAGACUUACGUCUAUCUUCUGUCCGUACUCCCACCUCUGAUGCUCGCCUUCAAGUUUUCUCGAGGGCUACACUGUUCCUUUGGAACUCGCUUCCCUCCUCCGUUAGAUGCUAACCCAGUCUCCACUCCUUCAAAAAAUCGUUAAAAACCCACUUCUUCAUAAAAGCGUAUCAAUUAAACUGUGAAUAGCACCUGACUGAUUCCUCUUCUGCAACUGUCACUAGUCUAAUACUAUCCUUACCUUUUCUGUGUCAUUUUACCCCACUCCCUCUAGCAUGUAAGCUCAUUGAGCAGGGCCCUCAACCCCUCUGUUCCUGUGUGUCCAACUGGUUACAACUACAUGUCUGUUCGUCCACCCAUUGUAAAGCGCUGCGGAAUUUAAUGGCGCUAUAUAAAUAACAUAAUAAUAAUUGUGUACAGAGACAUAUAAUGUGGGCUUUAGUGAGUCAGACGACCAUUCUGCACACUAACCCAGACUUGGUUUGAAAAGCAGAAUAAAACUGAAGGCUAUAUUCUUUAUUUUUAAGUUUUGUCAUUGAAGAGCAAGUUAGGUGCUAUGUAGGUAUUGCUCCUUACUUCACACUGACCUAUUCUGUUAUAUUCCAGAGGAAAACUCGGUGACCAGCUACACGUUGCCCUCUCUGUGUUUCGAGAAACUCCC
rnacentral:lncRNA from 1 species